rnacentral:rRNA from 1 species
GGCGGCGUGCCUAAUACAUGCAAGUUCGAACGAACGGAUAAAGAGCUUGCUCUUUUGAAGUUAGUGGCGGACGGGUGAGUAACACGUGGGUAACCUGCCUCACAGCUGGGGAUAACAUCGAGAAAUCGAUGCUAAUACCGAAUGUGCUGAACAUCAUAAGAUGUUCAAGUGAAAGACGGUUUCGGCUGUCACUGUGAGAUGGACCCGCGCUGGAUUAGCUAGUUGGUAAGGUAAUGGCUUACCAAGGCGACGAUCCAUAGCCGACCUGAGAGGGUGAUCGGCCACAUUGGGACUGAGACACGGCCCAAACUCCUACGGGAGACAGCAGUAGGGAAUCUUCGGCAAUGGACGAAAGUCUGACCGAGCAACGCCGCGUGAGCGAAGAAGGCCUUCGGGUCGUAAAGCUCUGUUGUUAGAGAAGAACAUGGGUGAGAGUAACUGUUCACCCCUUGACGGUAUCUAACCAGAAAGCCACGGCUAACUACGUG